GAAGUACUUCUUCACACAACACACAGUCAGCCUGUGGAACUCAUUGCCAGGGGAUGUUGUGAAGGACAAAAGUAUAAUGAGGUUCAAAAAAGCAAUGAAUAAGUUCAUGGAGGAUAGGUGGCAUCAAUGACCAUUAGCCAAGAUGGUCAGGGAUGCCACCCUAUGCUCUGGAUGUCCCCAAACCUCUCACUGCUAGAAGCUAGGACUGGAUGAUUAGGGGGCUGGAGCACAUGAAUUAUGAGGAAAGGCUGAGGGAACUGGGAUUGUUUAGUCUGCAGAAGAGAAGAAUGAGGGGGAUUUGAUAGCUGCUUUCAACUACCUGAAAGGGGGUUCCAAAGAGGAUGGAUCUAGACUGUUCUCAGUGGUUCCUGAUGACAGAACAAGGAGUAAUGGUCUCAAGUUGCAGUUGGGGAAGUUUAGGUUGGAUAUUAGGAAAAACUUUUUCACUAGGAGGGUGGUGAAGCACUGGAAUGGGUUACCUAGGGAGGUGGUGGAAUCUUUCCUUAGAGGUUUUUAAGGUCAGGCUUGACAAAGCCCUGGCUGGGAUGAUUUAGUUGGGAAUUUGUCCUGCUUUGAGCAGGGGGUUGGACUAGAUGAACUCCUGAGGUCCCUUCCAACCCUGAUAUUCUAUGAUUCUAUGACAGGGGUGGAACUCUGGAUAAUUGCCCCUCUCAGUUCAUUCCCUGUGACGCUUCUGGCAUUGGCCACCGUUGGAAGCCAGAAUACUGAGCUAGUUGGACAAUUGAUCUGACCCAGUAUGGCUGUUCUUGUGUUUCCAAGGUGGUGAUUUCCAAUACACUGAGAAUAUUGUUUGAAACUCUUUGACAGUGUCCUUGCAUUAACUAAUUACAUCACCACAACACCAAUACAUCUAAAAGAGAGAAACUCCUGUGUUGCUGGCAGCAUGAGAUGAAAUACACAGUACUCUGUAAUUUACUGAGGGGUUCUCUCAUGAGUUGCUAGUCAGUCCUUUUGCUGUGCUGCUCAUUUUAAUUCUGGUAAGAUUGACACAUCUGCUUUUAUUUUUAAGAGUCAACAGUCGGACAGAGGAGGAUAAAACAGAAGCAAUCUCGGAUGCUUCUCUUCCGUCUCCAGAUCUCCUGGACCUGUUGAUAUCAGAAGCUAAAGAAUUGUUGGAGCCCAUCCUCGCUAACACCACAAAGGAUGUAUUGCCAUACAACUGGGAUGAGUGCCUGACUGGGGAGGGAAACCUAAACUACAAGGACCAUCUUCAUCAGAAAACCACAUGGCCCCCUCCUCCGACCCAUAGCAAGAGUGAUGAGCCACAGCCCUCGAGCCCAACCAAGGAACUGCCUGAGAAGACUACAUAAAUCUCCUGAGAUGCACUCCUAUGCAUAAUCAUGUAUAUUCAUAACACAGAUGCUCUGCUGGGAGACAGACAGAAUGCAGAAUGGAUAGUUCAGUUUCCAGGCAGAGCAAAAAAUCCAUGAGUUUUCUGCUGAGACACUGAUUCUUUUGACUUGCCACCUAAGACUUAAGCAGCAAACCCACCCGCAUGGCUACCUCUGAAUUAUUAUACAAGGCUGUUCUCUCUUGGUUCUGCAGCUUUAUAAACAACAGGAAAGUUAUCGCUGAGGGGAUGUGAAUGCAUGGACCCCACAGGCAGGCAGCCUUUAGAGCUGGCAUUCUAUACAGAAAGAGGAGCAUGGACUAACCAGAGAAGGACACAUGGGUCCUGAAAGGAUUUCUUUUGGGGAUUUCAUAUGUGAAAAACCAAAGUAAACUUAAAAACAACAAGGAGGCCCGUGGCACCUUAAAGACAGCUUUAUUUGGGCAUAAGCUUUCGUGGGUAAAACACCACUUCUUCAGAUGCUUAGUGGACUAUAGUGAAACCAACAUACUCUGUAGUGUCUAUAACUGUCUUGGAUCCAUAUCAUGUGUUUUUUGUAAAGCUUAUCCCAGCUGCAAUGCUUGAAGUGGAAAGAAGAAGCCCGGAGGUAGCCAACAAUGUCAAUAAUGUGGUACCCGUAAGCUGUGCUGAGCACAGAAAGGACACCAUGGAACAUGUUUCAGUAAAGGUGUGGUGUAACAUUUUGGAAACUAGACCCACGUGGUUCGAGGUUUUAUGGGGUUAGUAAUGAAAAUGGUAGAGAUCUGAUAUGAAAGCACAGUCUGGCAAAUAAAAUGAAAACACUGCUUAGAGGGUGUUUGAUU
ensembl:lncRNA